rnacentral:rRNA from 1 species
CCUACGGGUGGCUGCAGUGGGGGAUAUUGGUCAAUGGGGGAAACCCUGAACCAGCAACGCCGCGUGAGGGAUGACGGUCUUCGGGUUGUAAACCUAAGUGAUCAGGGAUGAAACAUAUGACAGUACCUGAAAAGCAAGCUCCGGCUAACUACGGGCCAGCAGCCGCGUAACUACGUAGGGAGCAAGCGUUGUCCGGAUUUACUGGGUGUAAAGGGUGCGUAGGCGGGAACACAAGUCAGGCGUGAAAUACCGGGGCUCAACGCCGGGGCUGCGCUUGAAACUGUGUUUCUUGAGUGAGGUAGAGGCAGGCGGAAUUCCAAGUGUAGCGGUGGAAUGCGUAGAUAUUAGGAGGAACACCAGUGGCGAAGGCGGCCUGCUGGGCUUUAACUGACGCUGAGGCACGAAAGCGUGGGGAGCAAACAGGAUUAGAUACCCUUGUAGUC